UACGAAGGGGGCUAGCGUUGUUCGGAAUUACUGGGCGUAAAGGGCGCGUAGGCGGUGUGUCAAGUCAGGCGUGAAAGCCCCGGGCUCAACCUGGGAACCGCGCUUGAGACUGGCACGCUAGAGUUCGGGAGAGGAUGGUGGAAUUCCCAGUGUAGAGGUGAAAUUCGUAGAUAUCUGGAGGAACACCGGUGGCGAAGGCGGCAUCCUGGACCGGCAUUGACGCUGAGGCGCGAAAGCCAGGGGAGCAAACGGG
rnacentral:rRNA from 1 species